UACGUAGGGUGCAAGCGUUGCCCGGAUUUAUUGGGCGUAAAGGGCGCGUAGGCGGCUCGGCACGUCCGUUGUGAAAUCGCCCGGCUCAACUGGGCGGGGUCGGCGGAUACGGCCGAGCUGGAGCAAGCUAGGGGGUAAUGGAAUUCCCGGUGUAGUGGUGGGAAUGCGUAGAUAUCGGGAGGAACACCAGUGGCGAAGGCGGUUACCUGGAGCUUUGCUGACGCUGAUGCGCGAAAGCGUGGGGAGCGAGUCCGG
rnacentral:rRNA from 1 species